GAAAUACCGAACGUUUGGGAAUCGUCCGGGUUGUUGCUGGCCUCUUCGUUGAGGUAUGUGCACGCCUUGACCCCUGGCGUUUCAGUCCUUUCUUCACACCUUGUGCACCAAAUGUAGCUGGGGAUGAUCACGAAGCCUUUUGGUUUCGAAUGCCUCGGCUAUGAAGUUUUUACAAACGCUUUGUUAAAGUCUAUUAGAACGUUUGUAACCGCGUCUGACGCGAAUUAAAUACAACUUUCAGCAACGGAUCUCUUGGCUCU
rnacentral:misc_RNA from 1 species